rnacentral:lncRNA from 1 species
UUGACUUUAGGAGUUGCCUCCCGUAAAUUUGCACAAUAUAUAUAUAUAUAAAACCAAUCUUACAAGUAAGAAAAGGUUAUUUGGAAGAACAUUACUACUACUUGCUAUUAAGCAUAAAUAAUCAUUUUUUAGAAACGAAAAGGCAGAAAAGGAGGAGGAUGGCUGGGAGAUAUGAUAUGCAUGAAGUGCAAGGCGGGACCCUCCCGGACGGUCCGCUCCAUGUGUGAGAGAGAGAGAGAGAGAGAGAGGCUCGCUCGCCCAUUUUAAACGGAAGAGCUAGCUGGGAACUGAAUCUUGGUUGUAUGUUAAGCUUUUGUUUUUGUCAUUAUCUGGUCUGUAAUCAAGCAAAGGAGGGAGGGGUUUCAGUAGGUUUUCUUUCCGUCGGUUUCAUUUCGAAGGGUGGGUGUGCUUUGGUAUC